GCCAGCAGCUAACUUUUUGCACCUCUCACAUGGUUGCCCACUGAAGCUAAGCAGGGCAUUACCCGGUCAGUACCUGGAUGGGAGACCACAAGAGAAAGCUAGGUUGCUGCCGGAA
ensembl:rRNA 5S_rRNA 5S ribosomal RNA